AUUAGCAUUGGCGUUAAUAGUGUGGCAGUGGAGUGUGCUGGGUAGAGCAGCCCAUGGCACCUGGGAAUCAGGAUUAAACCAUAUCCCCAUCCAGCUGUGAUUAUGUGUAAACCUCUCUAUCCAGCUGCCUUGGGAAGUGUUUUAAGGUUUCCCAAGGAAAAGUGCUGCAGGAAAGCAAGGUCCUCCCCAUCCUCCCCUUGCGCUAGCCACACCAUUCCCUUUGGUGUUGUGCUUCUCCUUGUUGGGCAUGCAGCAAGUGCUUUUCCCCCUGCUAGGAAGACACUGGCUUUGCCUUUAAGCCCUGCUCCUCUAAACAUGUAGGUACAGGCUUUACUUUCCUGUUGUGAAUCUCAGGUGUGUACAGCUGAACACGGAAACCUGAAAAUGCUUCAGACCUGAGCACACAGGCUUGCAGUGGGAGCUGAUACCUGCACCCACUUUGGGCUCUCUCUCUUUCCUGAGGAUGCUGAAGCCUAGGAGCAGGGAAUGUAUUAGAGGACUGAGGCAUAAUAGUCCAUAUUGGCUGCUCUUCACUUUACCAGUAGGAAAGAGAGACCAGGAUCACUUCCAUGGCUCUGAAUUGCUGCAGUGAAGCAGGACCCACAGGUUUGAUUUGUUUCAGCUGCAUUUGCAAUAGAAGUCUCGCUUUUUCCCCAGGGCUGGCAAGAGGGAAGGCAGUUACUCUAUGGCCCACUUACAAUCUGCACAUGAAGAUCUUUUAUAUCUUUCUCCAGAGUAAUCAAUGGAAUUGGGAACAAGUUCUUCAUCCUCAGGGAAGAGAUAGGAGAAUUAUCUUUUCCCUUGGAGUGCUCCAGUACUGGGGCUCCACUCUCAACAAUAUCAAGGAAUUGACUAAGAACAGCUCAAAUUGGAUUACAAAAGUGAGGUGGGAUUGACUUGGUACUAUCGGAUCACGUCUUGUCUGGGAGGAGUCUUAAGGAAGGGGCCUGAUCCCUCCUGCUUAAAGCUAGAAGCUGACCUGAAAUAAAGCAACAUCUCUGUGCUUUUUACA
rnacentral:lncRNA from 14 species